rnacentral:lncRNA from 1 species
CAACCAUUUUGGGCAUCAAAAGGAUGGGAUAUGCGGUCAAUCCUACAUAUGUUGGGAGGAUUAGAUAUCUGAAUCCUGAAUGUUUAAAUGAUUUAGAUAGCAUUUCACGGAUGAAUCAUCCUUCAGAUAUAGCAAGAAGCAAUGCUGUAAUCAUUGGCUCAAGUACUUGACUUGUAGUGUUGAAGACAAGAGCGCAUAUCCAAGGGAAGGAAGCAUUUAGUACGCCGCAAUAUCCGUGAUAAAAGUUGGUGGCAAAUUUCCUGUCAGUCCAAAAACAAUGCCUUCUGCAUUGUAGAAGAUUCGUGCUUUUCAACGUAAUAUGUCGGACUUGGGAGGAAAAAAUAGAUUUUGUCCACUUCCUCGUGCUCCCCUCAAGAAUACAAAUUCACAGC